rnacentral:rRNA from 1 species
UACGUAGGAGGCAAGCGUUGUCCGGAAUUACUGGGCGUAAAGCGCGUGUAGGUGGUGGGACAAGUCUGCUGUGAAAGCGCCUGGCUUAACCGGGCGAGGUCGGCGGAAACUGUCGCACUCGAGGACGGUAGAGGGGGGUGGAAUUCCCGGUGUAGUGGUGAAAUGCGUAGAGAUCGGGAGGAACACCUGUGGCGAAGGCGACUUCCUGGCCUGUUCUUGACGCUGAGGCGCGAAAGCUAGGGGAGCAAACGGG